rfam:Picea glauca, whole genome shotgun sequence.
AAAAAGGAUGUUUUCACAUCCAUCUUGUGUAAAUUCGACUUCAUCU